rnacentral:misc_RNA from 1 species
GAUGAAGAACGUAGCGAAAUGCGAUACGUAAUGUGAAUUGCAGAAUUCAGUGAAUCAUCGAAUCUUUGAACGCACCUUGCACCCUUUGGACUGCUCCAAAGGGUAUGCUCGUUUGAGUGUCAUUGUACUCUCACACUCUCUGAUCCUUUGGAUUUGGGGAGCAGUGGACUUGGGUGCUUGCUGCUUCCUUGUGGCUCACCUGAAAUGCAUCAGUGCAUCUCUCGAUUGGACAUAGUACGGCGUGAUAAGUGUCUUCGCCGGCACCUCAUAUGAGGGUGGCCGAUCGGGAGCUCUGUGCUUUCAAACCGUCUUCGGACAACGCUGACAACUUGACCUCAAAUCGAGUAGGACUACCCGCUGAACUUAAGCAUAUCAAUAAGCGGAGGA